GACGAACGCUGGCGGCGUGCUUAACACAUGCAAGUCGAACGAUUAAAGCCCCUUCGGGGGUGUAUAGAGUGGCGAACGGGUGAGUAACACGUGGGCAAUCUGCCCCUCACUUCGGGAUAACUCAGGGAAACCUGAGCUAAUACCGGAUACUCCUUGAGGAUCGCAUGGUCUUCUCGGGAAAGCUCCGACGGUGAGGGAUGAGCCCGCGGCCCAUUAGCUUGUUGGUGAGGUAACGGCUCACCAAGGCGACGAUGGGUAGCCGAGCUGAGAGGCUGAUCGGCCACACUGGGACUGAGACACGGCCCAGACUCCUACGGGAGGCAGCAGUGGGGAAUCUUUCGCAAUGGGCGAUAGCCUGACGCAGCAACGCCGCGUGCGGGAUGAAGGCCUUCGGGUUGUAAACCGCUUUCAGCAGGGACGAACAUGACUGUACCUGCAGAAGAAGCCCCGGCUAACUACGUGCCAGCAGCCGCCGCCG
rnacentral:rRNA from 1 species